UACGAAGGGGGGCUAGCGUUGCUCGGAAUUACUGGGCGUAAAGGGCGCGUAGGCGGACAUUUAAGUUAGAGGUGAAAGCCCAGGGCUCAACCCUGGAAUAGCCUUUAAUACUGGAUGUCUUGAGUUCGGGAGAGGUGAGUGGAAUGCCGAGUGUAGAGGUGAAAAUUCGUAGAUAUUCGGCGGAACACCAGUGGCGAAGGCGACUCACUGGCCCGAUACUGACGCUGAGGCGCGAAAGCGUGGGGAGCAAACAGG
rnacentral:rRNA from 1 species